UUUGCUUUAAAUCACCCAGUGGCCAUCUCUAGACAGACGUGAAAGAGCCUUCACACCAAAAGGAUUUAAAGAAAAUGGAGUGACCAUUUACCAAUAGUCAUGAGAAAUCUUCACAGAGUUUGAAUAUGACAUCCAGAAACCCCCCAGCUCUGUCCUCCCGGAAGCUCUCUUUCUUGCUAUCUUCCUAAGGAUGCUUUCUUUCCGGGAGGAGGAGGGGCAUUGCCAUAGGGUGUGGCCGUGUAGCUCUGGCAGGCCUGGAAGAGGUGGUGAACAGGGCUAGUGUACUGAUCGUGAAUGUGAACAAGCUCCAGCCAAUCCUCCUGCCUCUGCUUCCUCAGCGCUAACAUCACAGGCCAGCCCCUAGCCAAGCACACUUCCUGUAAGACGUUAUUUCUACUUAGGAGUUCUCUGCCUAUUAUAUACGUGUGCGCUGAUGAAGUGAUAAAUGACUCUGAUUAUGUAAAACGUCUUUGUAACUCUUAUACAUCACCUAGCUUCCUCUCCCCAGAGUGCCUUAAACACACUGUAGGUCCUCCCUAUUGCCUAACUCAUCCAUCAUGGCCGACUGACAGUUGGAACAUGCUUCUCCAGUUUCAGAACUCAUUCUACUACCCGUUCUUGGGUCCCGCCCAGCUUUUAGGAGCUUCUAGGAUCCCAAGGAACUUUCUACCACUGAAGAUAAAAACGGCCACUCGGAGAUCUCUACUAAACAGCACUGACUGAGCACUUCUACUCGACUUUUGUGAAACAUAGGGCCUUGCUAUGCUGUUCAGACUUCUGGGUUUACACAAUCCUUCUGAUUCAGCCUCCUGUAGCUGCCACUCCUGGUUUGACCACCAGGCUCACAGCCAGAGGAAGUUACUGUAUAGAAACACUCACAAAAGGAUAAGUACGCCAAAGUUCCGGCAGCAUUCUUCCAUAAUAAAACAUGAGAGACGUAACAAUCAAUAAAGGAUUUGUUAACGCACAGCACCGUCACACAAUAUAACAUGGUGUAGCAGUUUAAACAGGACAAGCCAGGCAAGUUAGUGAAGACACUGACUAGGCUGGCCACAGAGUAAGCGCUCUCUACUGUGAACAGUUAUUAAAUGAUACCUGUUAUGCAUGCUGAUGAGAAAAGACACGUGAGAUAGAUUUAAGAAAGCAAGGCACACAACAGUAGGUCUGAUGUGGUCUCUUUUACAUGUACUGAUACACAAACAUGUGUACCCAUGUGCAUGUGUAAUAUAAUUUCUUAACUAUUGUCUGCCAAAACUCAAAGGCAGAACCAAAUGUAAAGAAGCCUCACUGCCAGGUGUGGUGGUACACACCCUUAGUCCCAGUACCUGGGAGGCAGAGGCAGGCAGAUCUCUGAAUUCUGAGACAGGUAGGACCGCACACAGAGACCCUGUCUCAAAACAAAAAAACAGAGGCUUACUCCUCAUUUUAUGCCUUUUGUUAUGUGUAACACUCUUCCUGUAGAUACUUAGUUCAAGAGCUGAAACAAUCUAAGAGCUGGGCACAGAACAGGAAAACCAGCUAGCUCCAGAGUCAUCUGAACGGAGUCAAAAGACCUUACAUAUUCACCAAGCCCAGAGGUCAUCACCAUAUUGUAGUGAUGAAAGCCACAGAGUGAGUCUUGGGAUAGAAGGUUAAAUGACUAUAAAUAGCAUAUUCUAAGAGGCAAAGAAGUGUCUCAAUAGUGUAACAUUUCAGAAAAAAUUUCUACCUGAAAUUAUGAAAUGCUUGAAAGGAAACAUUUCAUUUGUUCCAACAAUUAUCUCCUGCAGGAUAUUUAAUUCCUGGCUGAGUCUAAGCAGUCACACAGUGCAGACGCUGAAAGCAUAAGUCACCGUGGCAUCGGGAGGUAAGCCCGACCAAGUGCAUCUGAGAAAGGCUGUACUUGGGUGUGUAAGCGAUGCCGGAGAAGGAAGACGGAGAAGCUGUGAGAUAACAGCGCACCAAGCAAGGCUCUGUUUCUGCCAGAAAGAAGGCCAUUGUCACUCUUGGCAGCAAAGGAGAAAAUGAAACUUUAAAAGGUGAAAGACUAGGACAAGUAAGGAUGUGACGAGAAGCUCGAUUCCUGAGACAACAAGCAUUUUAAAGUAUCACCUUUACUCUGGCCACAUACAGCAACUCAAAGCCAUCUUUCAAAACAGCUUUCUUUUCUAAACAUAAAAACUACCAGAGGGCUCAGUGAAGGAAAUAAAAGAAAAAGAGGCAAAAAUCAA